rnacentral:rRNA from 2 species
GGGUUGUGAGGUUAAGCGACUAAGCGUACACGGUGGAUGCCCUGGCAGUCAGAGGCGAUGAAGGGCGUGCUAAUCUGCGAUAAGCGCCGGUAAGGUGAUAUGAACCGUUAUAACCGGCGAUACCCGAAUGGGGAAACCCAGUGUGAUUCGUCACACUAUCAUUACGUGAAUACAUAGCGUAAUGAAGCGAACCGGGGGAACUGAAACAUCUAAGUACCCCGAGGAAAAGAAAUCAACCGAGAUUCCCCCAGUAGCGGCGAGCGAACGGGGAGGAGCCCAGAGCCUGAAUCAGCAUGUGUGUUAGUGGAAGCGUCUGGAAAGGCGCGCGAUACAGGGUGACAGCCCCGUACACAAAAGCGCAUGUGUUGUGAGCUCGAUGAGUAGGGCGGGACACGUGGUAUCCUGUCUGAAUAUGGGGGGACCAUCCUCCAAGGCUAAAUACUCCUGACUGACCGAUAGUGAACCAGUACCGUGAGGGAAAGGCGAAAAGAACCCCGGCGAGGGGAGUGAAAAAGAACCUGAAACCGUGUACGUACAAGCAGUGGGAGCACCCUUUGGGGUGUGACUGCGUACCUUUUGUAUAAUGGGUCAGCGACUUAUAUUCUGUAGCAAGGUUAACCGAAUAGGGGAGCCGGAGGGAAACCGAGUCUUAAUUGGGCGUUAAGUUGCAGGGUAUAGACCCGAAACCCGGUGAUCUAGCCAUGGGCAGGUUGAAGGUUGGGUAACACUAACUGGAGGACCGAACCGACUAAUGUUGAAAAAUUAGCGGAUGACCUGUGGCUGGGGGUGAAAGGCCAAUCAAACCGGGAGAUAGCUGGUUCUCCCCGAAAGCUAUUUAGGUAGCGCCUCGUGAAUUCAUCUCCGGGGGUAGAGCACUGUUUCGGCUAGGGGGCCAUCCCGGCUUACCAACCCGAUGCAAACUGCGAAUACCGGAGAAUGUUAUCACGGGAGACACACGGCGGGUGCUAACGUCCGUCGUGAAGAGGGAAACAACCCAGACCGCCAGCUAAGGUCCCAAAGUCAUAGUUAAGUGGGAAACGAUGUGGGAAGGCCCAGACAGCCAGGAUGUUGGCUUAGAAGCAGCCAUCAUUUAAAGAAAGCGUAAUAGCUCACUGGUCGAGUCGGCCUGCGCGGAAGAUGUAACGGGGCUAAACCAUGCACCGAAGCUGCGGCAGCGACACUAUGUGUUGUUGGGUAGGGGAGCGUUCUGUAAGCCUGUGAAGGUGUGUCGUGAGGC